CAGUCCCUACUUCGAGAAAGCAAAUUCAGUGCAUAAACAUGUAUUUGUCUAUUAUUAUUAAUCAAGCAGAAAGGUUCUAACGGCUUCAUAGAUUGUAAAUUUUGAUGCUUAAUAAUUAGAAUGGUUCUCCAGAGUGUAAUACAAUGUAUACAUUAUCCCAAACAUUUUGGAUAAGGAUAGGGUGACCGGAAUACGAACCUCAUCAGAACCACGUGAACAAUAAGAAAACGACGGCACAGGCGGGGAGAGAGAGAUUUCACAAGAUCGGACGACGGACUUCAUCGGUCCCUGUACCAGGAAUAAUGUAGGAGACUCUGUUUAUCACGAUGAGGAAGGAUUCUAUUAAUAAUCGGGAUAAUGUUGAAGUGGUACCGCCGAGUGUGGACGUAAUAAUAUACACAUAUGAAGUUGUUGUUCUGGUUACUGCGUUGCAAAAACGGAAGUACAAAACAAGUACGAAUUGAGACGUAAAACGAAGGAAACAAUAAACGAAAGAGGUUAUGGAUUCCAGAAAUCUCUGUUUCUAGAAAACGUUCUACUGUUCGGAUUAUCAUCAGACCACUGUAGAUUGUAUACAGGGAGAAAACGAGUAGUAGCA